rnacentral:rRNA from 1 species
CAAAAACAUGUUUUUUAGAAAAAAAAAUUAAAAAUCGAGCCUGCCCACUGAAUAUUGAAGGGCUGCAGUAUAUUGACUGUACAAAGGUAGCAUAAUCAUUAGUUUCUUAAUUGGGAACUGGAAUGAAUGGUUUGACGAAAUAUUGGCUGUCUACUAAAUAAAAAAUUGAAUUUUACUUUUAAGUUAAAAGGCUUAAAUGCAUUUUGGGGACGAGAAGACCCUAUAGAUCUUUAUAUUUAAUUAAUUAAUAUACUAGUAUUGAAAAGUUAAGUUUUAUUUAGUGAGUAUUGUGUUGGGGUGACAUGGGAAUUUAUAAACUUCUUAGUAAUUUUAACUUUAAUUGAAGAAUAAAGAAUCCUUUAAUAAGGAAAAAAGAUUAAGAUACCUUAGGGAUAACAGCGUAAUUUUAUUAGAAAGUUCAUAUUAAUAAUGAAGUUUGCGACCUCGAUGUUGGAUUAAGAUUAUUAACUGGUGCAGAAGUUAGUUAAAUAAGUCUGUUCGACCAUUAAAUUCU